UGGGAUGGUAAAGCAUAAAAUCAAUUCUGGCGCUGACCGCCACCGGUACUAGAUGAUGUGCCCUGAGAAAAAACUGGGCGACCUAGAUGAGAUGGGCAUUACAAGCCUAAGUCUGGAGACGAAUAUCUCUAUUUCCCUACUUAGCAUGCGGAUACUCUUUGAUUCCGUGACCCAAACUUACCACAACCAUAACAACCUUUCUGUCCCAACAAACACUAACCAAGAUGAUUCUUGCUAUAUUUAGCACAUGGAGGAUAACUGGGUUUUCCACUCAUACUAUUCUGAGAUCUGUACAUAGAAGUCUUACCCCACUGCUCUUGCGUAGCUAUGGUGGAGCACUAGCUGAAGAUAAAGCUGGCAUCAAUGAACGAUGUUGAAACUGUGAAUAAUUUCCCUUUCC
rnacentral:lncRNA from 1 species